rnacentral:rRNA from 1 species
AGCGUAGACGGCUGUGCAAGUCUGAAGUGAAAGGCAUGGGCUCAACCUAUGGACUGCUUUGGAAACUGUGCAGCUAGAGUGUCGGAGAGGUAAGUGGAAUUCCUAGUGUAGCGGUGAAAUGCGUAGAUAUUAGGAGGAACACCAGUGGCGAAGGCGGCUUACUGGACGAUGACUGACGUUGAGGCUCGAAAGGCGUGGGAGCAAACA